GAUUAACGCUGGCGGCAUGCCUAAUACAUGCAAGUCGAACGAAGUAGUUUACUACUUAGUGGCGAACGGGUGAGUAACACGUAGGGAACCUGCCUCAAAGUCGAGGAUAACUAUUGGAAACGAUAGCUAAGACUGGAUAGUAUAUCAGAAGGCAUCUUUUGAUAUUUAAAGGUCCGUUUGGAACGCUUUUGAGAUGGCCCUGCGGCGCAUUAGCUAGUUGGUGAGGUAACGGCCCACCAAGGCGACGAUGCGUAGCUGUGCUGAGAGGCAAAACAGCCACACUGGGACUGAGACACGGCCCAGACUCCUACGGGAGGCAGCAGUAGGGAAUUUUCGGCAAUGGGGGAAACCUGACCGAGCAAUGCCGCGUGAAUGAU
rnacentral:rRNA from 1 species